GAUCUCAUAGUUAAAUUGGAUAUAACAAUUCCCUCCUAAGGAUUAAUUUCUGGUUCAAAUCCAGAUGAGAUCACCA
rnacentral:tRNA from 1 species